GAGAAAAGUAUUGUUGACGAAACAUGACAAAGAAACCAGUGAAUGUCAUGGUAUUAAAACAAGCUUAUAUUGGAUGAUGCCUCAAUCUUACGACCUACUUUCAACCUCGAAUGAAAACAAAAUGAGCUCACUGAAUUUGACAGUGAUUGGUGUUGACAACAGAAUAGCUAACUGGAAGUUCGAUGCUCAACAGCGUGAAGGAGAUGAUAUCAGACCUGAUGAUAACGUUUGGUUAAAUGUCAAUAAAAUUAGAGCCACAGUGAACAGUCAAUCAAGAUAU